rnacentral:rRNA from 1 species
CCCAGACUCCUACGGGAGGCAGCAGCGGGGAAUAUUGCACAAUGGGGGAAACCCUGAUGCAGCAACGCCGCGUGAGUGAAGAAGUAUUUCGGUAUGUAAAGCUCUAUCAGCAGGGAAGAAGAAGGACGGUACCUGACUAAGAAGCCCCGGCUAACUACGUGCCAGCAGCCGCGGUAAUACGUAGGGGGCGAGCGUUAUCCGGAUUUACUGGGUGUAAAGGGAGCGUAGACGGUUAAUCAAGUCUGAAGUGAAAGCCCGCGGCUCAACUGCGGAACGGCUUUGGAAACUGAGUAACUGGAGUGCUGGAGGGGCAGGCGGAAUUCCUGGUGUAGCGGUGAAAUGCGUAGAUAUUAGGAGGAACACCAGUGGCGAAGGCGGCUUACUGGACUGUAACUGACGUUGAGGCUCGAAAGCGUGGGGAGCAAACAGGAUUAGAUACCCCGGUA